GAAAACGCAUCAUUCCAACACUUUUUAAAGAGAAGCAGUCAUUUGACUUCCACAUACCACACAGUGACCUCAGUUUUGAUCCCUGGUAGGGAGCAGCAGGAUUCACAUUGCCUGAAGCUUCUAUUGUGCUGACUCUCCUAUAGCCAUCUGACCAGAAGGUUUGCCAAAUCCCAGCCUAGGAGAUUGUUAACAUUCCACUUGGCUUUGCUGCUUGCACCAGGGGAUGGUGUCUCGAAAGCCCUCUACACUCAUCUGGAGGAUUUGGAAUUGUGAUUUGGAAACAGAGACUCAAUUAUCUGAUUUAAAUAGUACCACUUUCAAGUCUCCAGCCUGAGCCUUCUACCUCUGAAAGCCUUUUUUCACCACAUACCAAUGUAAUUACACAAUAAACUGUAUCAAUAAACUACACCAAUGGGGCAAACAGUUGUCUGUACUUAGUUCUUUUCACAUCUUUUUAUCAGACUAAAGCAGAAUGAAAACAAAGUCACAGCCCCCAAAUUUGGCAUGUUUUCAAAAGCUUGUCUGGCCAUCUCACCAUAUCAACAACUUUAAGCAUUUUACUUGUAGUUUUCAUCCACAAUCCUACCAGUAAUUCUCAGUGCUCCAAUACAAAGGAGAAGAAUAUUUUAAUACAUAAAUAUAUAAUUUCUUAUAUAUGGUUAGAAAGUCACAGUGGCUUUAAUCUUUAAAUAAACAAAAAACAAAACUUCACUAUGACAAUAUUUGAUAGGAUAGACUAAAAAUUUGAUUUAAAAUUAUUUGUAUUGCUUUUGUUAUUCUGAAUUUAUGAUGUCACUAUGUUAGAUGAUUCUAACUUUAUAGGUGAAGAAAGCAUAAAAGAUACAAAGUACCUGGCAUAUGAUUACUUUGCUAUGAAGAAAAAAAUAUGAAAAUAUCUAUUCUUG
rnacentral:lncRNA from 1 species